rnacentral:rRNA from 1 species
GUCGAGCGGUAAGGCCUUUCGGGGUACACGAGCGGCGAACGGGUGAGUAACACGUGGGUGAUCUGCCCUGCACUCUGGGAUAAGCCCGGGAAACUGGGUCUAAUACCGGAUAUGACCGCAUGCUGCAUGGUGUGUGGUGGAAAGAUUUAUCGGUGCAGGAUGGGCCCGCGGCCUAUCAGCUUGUUGGUGGGGUAAUGGCCUACCAAGGCGACGACGGGUAGCCGACCUGAGAGGGUGACCGGCCACACUGGGACUGAGACACGGCCCAGACUCCUACGGGAGGCAGCAGUGGGGAAUAUUGCACAAUGGGCGGAAGCCUGAUGCAGCGACGCCGCGUGAGGGAUGAAGGCCUUCGGGUUGUAAACCUCUUUCAGCAGGGACGAAGCGUGAGUGACGGUACCUGCAGAAGAAGCACCGGCUAACUACGUGCCAGCAGCCGCGGUAAUACGUAGGGUGCGAGCGUUGUCCGGAAUUACUGGGCGUAAAGAGUUCGUAGGCGGUUUGUCGCGUCGUUUGUGAAAACCCGGGGCUCAACUUCGGGCUUGCAGGCGAUACGGGCAGACUUGAGUGUUUCAGGGGAGACUGGAAUUCCUGGUGUAGCGGUGAAAUGCGCAGAUAUCAGGAGGAACACCGGUGGCGAAGGCGGGUCUCUGGGAAACAACUGACGCUGAGGAACGAAAGCGUGGGUAGCAAACAGGAUUAGAUACCCUGGUAGUCCACGCCGUAAACGGUGGGCGCUAGGUGUGGGUUCCUUCCACGGGAUCUGUGCCGU